rnacentral:lncRNA from 1 species
GCCCUCAUUUUCCACAACAAUGUGAUCAGCGAGAGGGCAAGUGCUUCAAGUGUGGGCUGCCGGGCCAUGUGCGGGACGAGUGUCCGCAGGGUGAUAACCGGGCCUUGACACUGGCGACGGCCCAUUCCUCUUUGGGACAGCCGGCGGGUGUGCCACCUGCGGCAUGGUCGGGGUAGCAGCCGUUGAGAGUGAUGCAACCAGAGGGUUCGCG